rnacentral:rRNA from 1 species
GAUGAACGCUGGCGGCGUGCCUAAUACAUGCAAGUCGAGCGAACGGACGAGAAGCUUGCUUCUCUGAUGUUAGCGGCGGACGGGUGAGUAACACGUGGAUAACCUACCUAUAAGACUGGGAUAACUUCGGGAAACCGGAGCUAAUACCGGAUAAUAUUUUGAACCGCAUGGUUCAAAAGUGAAAGACGGUCUUGCUGUCACUUAUAGAUGGAUCCGCGCUGCAUUAGCUAGUUGGUAAGGUAACGGCUUACCAAGGCAACGAUGCAUAGCCGACCUGAGAGGGUGAUCGGCCACACUGGAACUGAGACACGGUCCAGACUCCUACGGGAGGCAGCAGUAGGGAAUCUUCCGCAAUGGGCGAAAGCCUGACGGAGCAACGCCGCGUGAGUGAUGAAGGUCUUCGGAUCGUAAAACUCUGUUAUUAGGGAAGAACAUAUGUGUAAGUAACUGUGCACAUCUUGACGGUACCUAAUCAGAAAGCCACGGCUAACUACGUGCCAGCAGCCGCGGUAAUACGUAGGUGGCAAGCGUUAUCCGGAAUUAUUGGGCGUAAAGCGCGCGUAGGCGGUUUUUUAAGUCUGAUGUGAAAGCCCACGGGCUCAACCGUGGAGGGUCAUUGGAAACUGGAAAACUUGAGUGCAGAAGAGGAAAGUGGAAUUCCAUGUGUAGCGGUGAAAUGCGCAGAGAUAUGGAGGAACACCAGUGGCGAAGGCGACUUUCUGGUCUGUAACUGACGCUGAUGUGCGAAAGCGUGGGGAUCAAACAGGAUUAGAUACCCUGGUAGUCCACGCCGUAAACGAUGAGUGCUAAGUGUUAGGGGGUUUCCGCCCCUUAGUGCUGCAGCUAACGCAUUAAGCACUCCGCCUGGGGAGUACGACCGCAAGGUUGAAACUCAAAGGAAUUGACGGGGACCCGCACAAGCGGUGGAGCAUGUGGUUUAAUUCGAAGCAACGCGAAGAACCUUACCAAAUCUUGACAUCCUUUGACAACUCUAAAGAUAGAGCCUUCCCCUUCGGGGGACAAAGUGACAGGUGGUGCAUGGUUGUCGUCAGCUCGUGUCGUGAGAUGUUGGGUUAAGUCCCGCAACGAGCGCAACCCUUAAGCUUAGUUGCCAUCAUUAAGUUGGGCACUCUAAGUUGACUGCCGGUGACAAACCGGAGGAAGGUGGGGAUGACGUCAAAUCAUCAUGCCCCUUAUGAUUUGGGCUACACACGUGCUACAAUGGACAAUACAAAGGGCAGCGAAACCGCGAGGUCAAGCAAAUCCCAUAAAGUUGUUCUCAGUUCGGAUUGUAGUCUGCAACUCGACUACAUGGAGCUGGAAUCGCUAGUAAUCGUAGAUCAGCAUGCUACGGUGAAUACGUUCCCGGGUCU